UCCAACCCGAAAUUCAACCGAACCGGAGAUCCCGAACUCGAGUACCUCUCCAAAUUCACAGUCAGCGGACUCUGGACUCUUUGCUACACCAAUCCUGGAGAGACGGAACGCUACUGUUUCAACAUCGAUUAUUUCCCAACGGAAGAGUACAGUCCCGAUCCCAAUGACUCGACACUCUCAAUCCCUUAUGCGGUCUUGAGGUCGGCUCCGUUCUUUUUCAUGGCCACUGUUGGUCGUCGGAGAGAUUUUCUGUUUCCUCGGCCACUUUGCACCUAGGAGACGCUAUUGCACUUUUCUAUCCGGCGUCAAUUUGAUCCUUUCCGGUAUUUUAUUUCGAUUGGAAUUAUUUUUUAAAUUUUGAUCAAGUUUAUUUUUGUUUUUAAAUUUUUUAUUCAGGAUUGUUACUUUUACUCGGUCUGGUUGUUUACGUCUCGGUUUUCACGGCUGAAAUCGGAAGUAAAUUAAGGCCCAGCUCAUCAUUACAACCGCCAAUGUUCACCUACACCUACGGCUACAGUUUCCAUGUGGUAGUCAUCGGUUUCUUAGCUGGCAAGGUAUUUUCAUAACCAUCAUUUUAUACAUUUAAAUUGAUUUUAAAUUAUACCAU